AAAUUUAAUAUUCGCUAUCUUUGUCGUACAACGCACUCAGUCGAACAGAAUGUGCUGACAAGACAGCGGCAAUUUUAGAUAUUUGACACGGCUUUAGGAAUAAUAAUGUUUGAUCCAAAAUUAUUGUCACCAUAGGUGGCUCUCAACGACAGAGAUAGAUAUACAGUUCAUGUCUGUUCUUAAUUCAGAUAUACUACUUUCCAGUUUACGUCAACUUUGCAGUGCACGUCAACUUAACAAGAAAAGUUAGGUUAUGUAGAGAUGUUGGUGGUGGACAUAUACAGCAUCCUGUUUGAUUUUAUUUAUUAUUGUUACUUAUAAUUGUGUUAAUUCUUUUUAUUUUAGAUUAAAGUUCUGUGUUAAAGAUUUUGACUGAUUUUUUAUGUUUUAUAGGGUAGUGGCACCAGUAGUUGACCAGUACCCGGUAAUUGACCAAAUUGUUUUUAAUGAGCUGAAAUAAGAAAUCUAUAACGUUUUGUUGGUUACUUAUAGCUCUAAACUGUGAAUAAUAUAUUUGUCCACUAGAUGUCGCAAAUAACUUGUAUAAAGUUUCCGCUUAAGUUGCCAUUUUAAGUCCAGUUUGUAGUUUCUCACAGUGUAGAGGCCAAUAAGCCAUUUUCCAAUAAGCGUGAAACAUGUCUGAGACUAAAAAGAAGUUUUUUAAAUAUACAGAAGAACAAUUACAACUGGCUAUAAAUGAUGUUUCUAAUAAUAUAUGCAGCAUUCGACAAGCAGAGAGAUUGUAUGGUGUUCCACAUUCCAC
rnacentral:lncRNA from 1 species